rnacentral:rRNA from 1 species
UACGUAGGGGGCAAGCGUUGUCCGGAUUUAUUGGGCGUAAAGAGCGUGUAGGCGGCUAGAUAGGUCCGUUGUGAAAACUCGGGGCUCAACCCCGAGACGCCACCUGAUACUGCUAUGGCUAGAGUCCGGUAGGGGGAGCAUGGAAUUCCCGGUGUAGCGGUGAAAUGCGCAGAUAUCGGGAGGAACACCAGUGGCGAAGGCGAUGCUCUGGGCCGGUACUGACGCUGAGGAGCGAAAGCGUGGGGAGCGAACAGG